rnacentral:tRNA from 1 species
AAGACAUUAGUAAACUCACAAAUUACAUCACCUUGUCAAGGUGAAAUCGUAGGUUAAACUCCUGCAUGUCUUAAGCCUCUGGCUUAAUGGCACAUCCCACACAAUUAGGAUUCCAAGACGCGGCAUCACCCGUUAUAGAAGAGCUUCUUCACUUCCACGACCACGCUUUAAUAAUCGUAUUUUUAAUCAGCACCUUAGUACUUUAUAUUAUUGUUGCAAUAGUAUCAACAAAACUUACAAAUAAAUAUAUCUUAGACUCCCAAGAAAUCGAAAUUGUAUGAACCGUUCUACCGGCCGUAAUCCUUGUUUUAAUUGCCCUCCCUUCCCUACGAAUUCUUUACCUUAUAGAUGAGAUUAAUGACCCCCACCUAACAAUUAAAGCCAUAGGGCACCAGUGAUAUUGAAGCUACGAAUACACCGACUACGAAAACCUAGGUUUCGAUUCAUACAUAGUCCCAACCCAAGACCUCACCCCAGGACAGUUCCGGCUUCUUGAAACAGACCACCGGAUGGUCGUCCCCAUAGAAUCCCCAGUCCGUGUCCUUGUCUCCGCUGAAGAUGUACUACACUCCUGAGCCGUCCCAUCCCUUGGAAUAAAAAUAGACGCAGUCCCAGGACGCCUUAAUCAGACAGCCUUCAUUGCCUCCCGACCAGGAGUAUUCUAUGGACAAUGCUCUGAAAUUUGCGGAGCAAACCACAGCUUCAUGCCUAUUGUAGUAGAAGCAGUCCCCCUCGAACACUUUGAAAACUGAUCCUCACUAAUACUAGAAGACGCCUCACUAGGAAGCUAAAUCCGGGCCUCAGCGUUGGCCUUUUAAGCCAAAGAAUGGUGCCUCCCAACCACCCCUAGUGA